CCUUUUUAGGGUUCCGUAGCCAAAUGACAAAAAACGGAACCGUUAUGGAUUCGUCAUGUCUGUCUGACUGUCCGUCCGUAUGUCACAGCCACUUUUUUCCGAAACUAUAAGAACUAUACUGUUGAAACUUGGUAAGUAGAUGUAUUCUGUGAACCGCAUUAAGAUUUUCACACAAAAAAUAGAAUAAAAAGCAUAAAUUUUGGGGGUUCCCCAUACUUGGAACUGAAACUCAAAAAUUUUUUUUUUCAUCACACCCAUACGUGUGGGGUAUCUAUGGAUAGGUCUUCAAAAAUGAUAUUGAGGUUUCUAAUAUCAUUUUUUUCUAAACUGAAUAGUUUGCGCGAGAGACACUUACAAAGU